rnacentral:rRNA from 1 species
UCAACGGAGAGUUUGAUCCUGGCUCAGGACGAACGCUGGCGGCGUGCUUAACACAUGCAAGUCGAGCGGUAAGGCCCCUUCGGGGGUACACGAGCGGCGAACGGGUGAGUAACACGUGAGCAACCUACCCUUCACUUUGGGAUAACCCCGGGAAACCGGGGCUAAUACCGAAUACGACCACCUGCGGCAUCAUAGGUGGUGGAAAGUUCCGGCGGUGAAGGAUGGGCUCGCGGCCUAUCAGCUUGUUGGUGGGGUAACGGCCCACCAAGGCAACGACGGGUAGCCGGCCUGAGAGGGUGACCGGCCACACUGGGACUGAGACACGGCCCAGACUCCUACGGGAGGCAGCAGUGGGGAAUAUUGGACAAUGGGCGAAAGCCUGAUCCAGCAACGCCGCGUGAGGGAUGACGGCCUUCGGGUUGUAAACCUCUUUCAGCAGGGACGAAGCG